rnacentral:rRNA from 1 species
UACGUAGGUGGCAAGCGAUACUCGGAACCACUAGGCGUAAAGCGCAGGUAGGAGGUUUGGUAAGUCUGUUGUGAAAGCUCCCGGCUUAACUGGGAGAGGUCAACGGAAACUACCAGGCUAGAGUGCGGUAGAGGUAGCUGGAAUUCCCGGUGUAGCGGUGAAAUGCGUAGAUAUCGGGAGGAAUACCUAUGGCGAAGGCGGCCCACUGGAUCGGUACUGACGCUGAGGUGCGAAAGCGUGGGGAGCAAACAGG